rnacentral:rRNA from 1 species
CUACGUGCCAGCAGCCGCGGUAAUACGUAUGUCACAAGCGUUAUCCGGAUUUAUUGGGCGUAAAGCGCGUCUAGGUGGUUAUGUAAGUCUGAUGUGAAAAUGCAGGGCUCAACUCUGUAUUGCGUUGGAAACUGCAUGACUAGAGUACUGGAGAGGUAAGCGGAACUACAAGUGUAGAGGUGAAAUUCGUAGAUAUUUGUAGGAAUGCCGAUGGGGAAGCCAGCUUACUGGACAGAUACUGACGCUAAAGCGCGAAAGCGUGGGUAGCAAACAGGAUUAGAUACCCUGGUAGUCCACGCCGUAAACGAUGAUUACUAGGUGUUGGGGGUCGAACCUCAGCGCCCAAGCUAACGCAUUAAGUGCCCCGCCUGGGGAGUACGGCCGCAAGGCUAAAACUCAAAGAAAUUGACGGGGGCCCGCACAAGCGGCGGAGCAUGCGGAUUAAUUCGAUGCAACGCGAAGAACCUUACCAAGGCUUGACAUGC